rnacentral:rRNA from 1 species
UACGUAGGGGGCGAGCGUUGUCCGGAUUUAUUGGGCGUAAAGAGCGUGUAGGCGGUUCGGUAAGUCUGCCGUGAAAACCUGAGGCUCAACCUCGGGCGUGCGGUGGAUACUGCCGGGCUAGAGGACGGUAGAGGCGAGUGGAAUUCCCGGUGUAGCGGUGAAAUGCGCAGAUAUCGGGAAGAACACCCGUGGCGAAGGCGGCUCUCUGGGACGGUACUGACGCUGAGACGCGAAAGCGUGGGGAGCGAACAGG